GGCCUAUUGAAUAUAAUUUUAGGUUUGACCUGCCCAAUGAAUAUUUAAAUGGCUGCGGUAUAUUGACCGUACAAAGGUAGCAUAAUCAUUAGUUUUUUAAUUAAAAGCUUGUAUGAAGGGUUUGAUGAGAAAAAUUCUGUCUCUAUGAGAAUUAACUAGAAUUUUAUUUUUAAGUGAAAAAGCUUAAAUUAAAAUGGAAGACGAGAAGACCCUAUAGAGUUUUAUAUUUCUUGAAAAAUUUAAAUUUUUAGAAUUAAAAAUUAAUUGUUUUAAGAAAUAUUUUGUUGGGGUGAUAGAAAAAUUAAGUUAACUUUUUUUUAUUAAUACAUUUAUUUAUGAGUAUAUGAUCCUAAAAUUUAGAAUAAAAGAUUAAAUUACCUUAGGGAUAACAGCGUAAUUUCUUCUAGAGUUCUUAUCGAAGAUGAAGAUUGCGACCUCGAUGUUGGAUUAAAAUUAAUUAUUGGUGUAGGUGCUAAUAAAUUAGGUCUGUUCGACCUUUAAAAUUUUACAUGAUCUGAGUUUAAACCGGUGUGAG
rnacentral:rRNA from 1 species